GGCGGUUCUUGGGUGACACACCCUGGAAUCAGGCUCCCUCUUCUCUGGUUUCAGAUGAGUCACCCGAGGACCACU
rfam:Myotis lucifugus cont2.11975, whole genome shotgun sequence.